AAAAACUUUCCUUUCUAUCGCCCCUCUUUUCUUUACAUACAUAUAUAUUUUAUCCCAUAAUAAUAAUAAAGUCCUGUUUUGUUUUAAGUAUUGUAACUCCCAAUUACCGCUACCCUUUCCGAUUGAUCUGAGUCUCAUAACGCAUGUCAAGGCUCUGCCCGACUAAGUUCGUUUGGAUUCUAUCUCGGGACUUCGGGACAAGGUUGAAUUAGGGGUACUAUACUUAACACAAGUGCAUUAUAUUUUUUUUUAGCCCAAAAGUUAUACCCAAAAUUUAUACCAGGAGGUUUUCUAGUUGAACCCUAAAGUUAUAUAGUGGGUCCAUUCCUUUUUCCCACCAUUCUAUUCUCUUUUUGUGAGUUACCCAAAACUAUUAUUUAUGAUUUAUUAUUUCUAUUUUGUAAACAAACUUUCAUCAAAAGUCAUGCCUAUUAUUUUAUUUACCCAAUAGGGAACCAUAGUUGAGACACCCAAGUAAUCCUGCACAACCCCUAAAAUUUCCAGAACAAUCAGAAUCAGGAUCAGGGCCCCUAAAACUCAGAGGGGGAUAAACCCUAGCCAACGAUUAUCCUCAUAACUAAUUGUAAAAUUCGAAAAUUGAAAAACUGUCGACACAGCAAGCCUACAUGCACGAAGGGCUACUCUAUGAAAGUAGGGUGACCACUCGCGUAGCGCGACGUCUAUAGGGGUACCCCCUCGCGCUACGCGACGGUGUCAAAAUUCGGGUAUAAAUAGAGGGGGUUGGGACUUGAAUUCUGUCUUUGGAACGACGUAAAUCCGAGUUACGUAGAUCAAGUUAUCACAGAAACAGUCCAACACACACACACUAAUAUCGAAUUGCUGUCGCGGAACAGGGUAAUUACUCGAUCGCUAUUACGAUUCAGUUUCCGGGAUCAAUAUACCCAAAGAAUGUCUAAGUGCCGCCCACAUUGGGUUAUGCUUUGUCGUUUGUCGUACUAUACUUUGUCGUUUGUCAUUUUGAUAAAUGAGUUGAAGUAUUGCACUUGGUCGUUCAUUGUGAGAAUUUGAUCUCGGGAAAUUAUCGUAACUGCUGUAUUGAGCAUUAACCCGGUUUUUGUGAAAUUCGUUAAGAUUAAUUUAGGUUUUUCACCCAUACUUAUUCCAUUAUGUUAAACCACCAGAAAUACUCCCAACUACACCCUUACAAUCAAAUAAACUAUUAAAUCAUCAGAAGAUCCAGAAUAAUAAAGUGCAUGCUUAAUUAUUGGAAGAAAUAGAAUCAAGAAGUUGUUAAUUCAAUCCUGCAUGCUGAUUUGUGAGUCAUUCUCUUUUUAUUAACUAUUUUACAAUACUCCAAAUCAUUUUUCAAAGUUAUAAUUACAGUGAUUAAGUUUAUGUAAUCACCAAAUUACAGCCGGUAUGUGGGGUAUUGUGCACAGUAUUAUUAUUGUUUUAAUCACAUUAGGUGGGCGAGCCUAAAAGAAAGUGAUAUACGUCACUCAUUGGGCCAGCCAAUGGUGAUAUGACCACAGUCACAGAGCUGGUCUGUGACAAAUACCUAUUCUUGAAAUGUUGGUUGAUAAUAAACAUAUGUAAAAACUCUUAAUACUGUAAAUUAUAACAAAUGUGUCGUUUUCAGUAAAAUGAAUGAACUCACUCAGUAUUUCCCGCUGACAAAACCUUUUUAAAACGCGUUUCAGGUAAUUACAGUAGAUUGGAGUAAGGAUUGGAUCCGGCACUAAAAGACUUCAAGAAGUGGCUUAUUUUAUUAAUUAAAUCAAAUUAAGAAAUAUUGUUUUUAUUAAAAGCUACCUUUGUAAAACAUGGAAUUUAUUCCAUCUAUUUCAAUAAAAAUCCGGUGUUUCUAAACUCUGAUAUUUUCCUAACUCACGGUCCUGAUGAAAUUUCCGCUGCAAUGUUUUUAAAAUAAUCACCGGUACCACUGGACUGCUCACGGCACCGAUUCCGGCUAGAUGGGGUCGGGGGUCGUGACAAUAGCCGACCCACCACCACCACCACCCCAGCCGACCCACCACCACCACAACCACCCCAUCCGACCCACCACCACCGCCACCACAACCACCCCAGCCGACCCACCACCACCACCAUAGCCGACCCACCACCAUCACCCCAGCCGACCCACCACCACCACCCCAGUCGGCACACCACUACCACCACCACCGUAGCCGACCCACCACCACCACCACAACCUACCCAACACCAUCACAAACGGCAAA
rnacentral:lncRNA from 1 species